rnacentral:rRNA from 1 species
GAUGAACGCUGGCGGCGUGCCUAAUACAUGCAAGUCGAGCGAACAGACGAGGAGCUUGCUCCUCUGACGUUAGCGGCGGACGGGUGAGUAACACGUGGAUAACCUACCUAUAAGACUGGGAUAACUUCGGGAAACCGGAGCUAAUACCGGAUAACAUGUUGAACCGCAUGGUUCAACAGUGAAAGACGGUCUUGCUGUCACUUAUAGAUGGAUCCGCGCCGCAUUAGCUAGUUGGUAAGGUAACGGCUUACCAAGGCAACGAUGCGUAGCCGACCUGAGAGGGUGAUCGGCCACACUGGAACUGAGACACGGUCCAGACUCCUACGGGAGGCAGCAGUAGGGAAACUUCCGCAAUGGGCGAAAGCCUGACGGAGCAACGCCGCGUGAGUGAAGAAGGUCUUCGGAUCGUAAAACUCUGUUAUUAGGGAAGAACAAAUGUGUAAGUAACUAUGCACGUCUUGACGGUACCUAAUCAGAAAGCCACGGCUAACUACGUG